rnacentral:rRNA from 1 species
UACGGGGGGGGCAAGCGUUGUUCGGAAUUACUGGGCGUAAAGGGCUCGUAGGCGGCCAACUAAGUCAGACGUGAAAUCCCCAGGCUCAACUUGGGAACUGCGUCUGAUACUGGAUGGCUUGAAUUCGGGAGAGGGAUGCAGAAUUCCAGGUGUAGCGGUGAAAUGCGUAGAUAUCUGGAGGAAUACCGGUGGCGAAGGCGGCAUCCUGGACCGACAUUGACGCUGAGGCGCGAAAGCUAGGGGAGCAAACGGG